rnacentral:rRNA from 1 species
UGGGGAAUAUUGGACAAUGGGCGCAAGCCUGAUCCAGCAAUGCCGCGUGUGUGAAGAAGGUCUUCGGAUCGUAAAGCACUUUCGGCGGGGACGAUGAUGACGGUACCCGCAGAAGAAGCCCCGGCUAACUUCGUGCCAGCAGCCGCGGUAAUACGAAGGGGGCUAGCGUUGCUCGGAAUUACUGGGCGUAAAGGGCGCGUAGGCGGCUCUGUGAGUCAGGCGUGAAAUUCCUGGGCUUAACCUGGGGACUGCGCUUGAUACUGCAGGGCUUGAGGCCGAGAGAGGGUGGUGGAAUUCCCAGUGUAGAGGUGAAAUUCGUAGAUAUUGGGAAGAACACCGGUGGCGAAGGCGACCACCUGGCUCGGUACUGACGCUGAGGCGCGACAGCGUGGGGAGCAAACAGG